GUGCUGCAAUCCGUAAGGRAUCCAACAGAACCGAUACGAACGUCKUUCGCACGUAGCGUUGAACGCUUUGUUCCGAGGGGCAAAUAGAGGUCGAGGCCUCKUGCCCACAACAUGUUCCGCAUCYGAGAUUUSGAGCAUUKCUUCUUGGGUGGGCCACACGAGCGCAMKYGCGCACGCACACACACGAGUGCCAACCACGACGCRUGCUAUGAGUUCCAACCCGCACCGCGACACUGGUGGGUGACGCAGAGCAAAUGAAAAARRRSCCGAUUUUGCCGACGUAUGCCUUAAAGAUAGGUAUCGAGCACAGGAGGCCG
rnacentral:misc_RNA from 1 species